GGCGUGCUAGCAAAGUGGUUAAUGCGUUUGACUCGAAUUCAUUUUCCGAUAUCAAAUCCCUUCGGGGGCGUAGGUUCGAAUCCUGCGCACGUCG